UGUUCUGUGGCUUAGUGGGUUAAGCGCCGGUCUAGCGAAUACUGAGUCGCGGGUUCAAAUCCCACCAGAACGC
rfam:Aedes albopictus isolate Foshan contig136825, whole genome shotgun sequence.